GCUGCCACUCCACCUGCUGCCACUCCACCUGCUGCCACUCCACCUGCUGCCACUCCACCUGCUGCCACUCAGAGCAGGCCCCUGACGGCUGCCGGCGUUAACGCUCUGCUGGCACGUGGGAAGCAUUUGUCUCCCUCACAGUUGGCAUGAAAAAUUGUUUCUCCAGCCAAACCCUCUCCAGUGCCACGUGUCCCCUCUCCGUCUACAUCCGCUGCCCGCAGACAGCUCUUUAACUGUGACGCUGUUGCUGCUGCUGGGGAUUUUUUUAAGGAGCAAGACGACCAGGAGACGGUGACUGUGGCCUCGCAAGCUGAGGAAAAACUUCCUCAAGAGAAUUAGCUCUGAUCCCAGUGUCAGUCUACACUCACUCUUCAAAGCAAAAAGGUGGCUGCACAAUGUUGGAGUUAGAGGAGCUCCUAGUGUUGCUGUUGCUUUGUUUCACACUUGGCUCAUCCCAGCUCACUUUUCUUCUUGUAUCUGACCUACUGGUGCAUGGGUGAAAAUCAGAAUGCUUUUCACUGACUCCUUCCAUAACUUCACCCUCUCCUCAUCAUAUUGUCUCUCUCCUACCCAUCAUGCUUUGCACUAAACGUUGUAGCUUUGUAGCUGUCUGGUAGUGCUGAAAAAGAAAGGCUGUGACAGUCUGAGCUUAACAACAAACUAAUUGGAACUUUUUCCA